rnacentral:rRNA from 1 species
AUUCCAGCUGAUCCUGCUGGCGGGUACUGCUAUCGGAUUUCGACUUAGCCAUGCAAGUCUAAAAACCACAGCUUGUGGUUUUGGCAAACGGCUCAGUAACACGUAGUUAACCUAACUUGAAGAAGCGUUAAACCCGGGAAACUGGGCAUAAUGCGCUAUAGUGCUUUCCAACUGGAAGGUGGAAUGCAUUAAAACAAGCAAGAAUUGCAUUGUGUUGGCUUCAGGAUGGGACUGCGGCAGAUUAGGCAGUUGGCGGGGUAAAUGCCCACCAAACCUAUAAUCUGUACGGGCAAUGAAAGUUGGAGCCCGGAGAAGGGAACUGAGAUAAGGUCCCUAGCCCUACGGGGUGCAGCAGGCGCG